AACAAACCCACCCCAUUGUGAAUUACCUAAGUAGACACUUUUACAAGAUAGCAUUAUUUUUUAAUGCAGAUGAUCCAAGUUUUAUUAAAGUUUACAUACUUAAGCAUAAAUAAAUUAACAGAUUUGUAGCACCAAUAAUGGUGGCAUGAUGGUACACCUGGAGGUAACAUUAUCAAGAGCUUUUGUUGAAACCUUUCAUUUUCAAUCAGGUGCUGAUUUUUUUCCACCCAAGUCUUCAAUUAUUACUGUUCUAACACUGCAAAAACCAUUCAAGCAUAAAAAAGCAUGCAAGAGGCAGUAAAAUAAGCCCAAAUAAUUGAGAAUUGAACAAGAAAACAAAAUAAUUUACUCUUAAAAUGACAAAAGUAAAAUUAAGACAACCUCUAAACCAGGGGUCUGGUGAACUUGGAUGGGAAAAAUUUUAAAUCUUUCUUUUCACCAACUUCUAACUGAAAUAUAACAUUUCCUUCAAUUACGAAUAUAGGAAACAGUCCACAGUAGGAUCAGAGUACCUGUGACUUUGUCACCAAUAGAAAUGAGACAUUUAGAUAUAUUACAGUUGUUAGAUAUUUCAAGAUAUGAAUUUGAAUUAUAGUAAUUUUAGAACCACCAUGCAGUCUUAUUUUGUGUUAACAGAAUAUGUAUGUUACUGGAUCAUAAAACUUUGAAAAUAUCAACUUUAUUUUAACAUGAUCAGUUUCCUUUGCGAUCCUUUAUAUUUAGUUUUAUGCUUUGAAAACAUUACUAUGAGAGGGGGUCCACAGGCUUCACUGGAUCACUAAAAAGCUCAAUGGCACAAAAAAGUUUGAAACAAAUAAGUCAUUAAUAUCACAGGAAGAGAGUACUUAAUAGUGAAAUAGGGUGGGUGCAGUGGCUCAUGCCUGCAAUCCAAACACUUUGGGAGGCUGAGGCGGGCAGAUUACCUGAGGCCAGGAGUUCGAGACCAGCCUGGGCAACAUGGCAAAACCCCAUCUUUACUAGAAAUACAAAAAUUAGCCAAGCAUGGUGGCACGCGCCUGUAGUACCAGCUACUUGGGAGGCUGAGGCACGAGAAUCGCUUGAACCUGGGAGCUGUGGAGGUUGCAGUGAGUCAAGAUUGUACCAGUGCACUCCAGCCUGAGUAACAGUGUGAGACUCUGUCUCAAAAAAAAAAAAAGUGAAAUAUAUGAAGCUGACUUCAACAGUAACAGAUUUCAGAAAAGGUCUAAAAACUGUGCUCCAGAAUUUAAUUACCACAAGGAGUUAGAAAAUCCACACUACCAUCCAGCUUCCUAAACAGAAGACUAAAUUUCCCGCUAUCCCUGUCUUUACCACUGUACUCACCCCCACCCUAGACUCUAGUGUAGAACAAGUAGUCAAGGAAAGAGAGAUUAAAAUGGUCACUCAUGCAGAUGAUACCCAAAUGCAAACAUGACACGCUUAGCAACUGGAAACCUGGUGGGAGGGGCGCAAGAGCACGCUGGCUUCCUAGAGACUGGUUGGCAAACGUAGAAUUAAGAGGAUGGUGAUAAGAAACCAGGGAUCCAUGGGGCAGCCUUCCCAGUUUGCUCAAACAUUCUGUUGCCAGGCUGUGACCAGGACUCAGAGACCAGUCCUAGGUUUACCAUCCAGACAACAAUGUGGGGGAGCAGAGAGAGCGUUAUAGAGAAAAGUUUAAAAAUAUAAGUAAAAUGAAAUAGUAUUCUUGGGUAUUAAAAAAAGAACUCUGAGGCUAAGAUUAUUGUUGGCCUCUGGACUUGCCCUUUCUGGUCUAUCUUCCACAUUGCUGUCCGAGUGAAUCAUUCCAACACUGUAUGGCACUCUCUUGCUUAAAAUCUUUCAGUGGCUCUCUACUGUGCUCAGGAUCAAGUGCAGGUUUAAAGUGCAGGUUUA
rnacentral:lncRNA from 10 species